rnacentral:rRNA from 1 species
AUUGAACGCUGGCGGCAGGCCUAACACAUGCAAGUCGAACGAGUGGCGGACGGGUGAGUAAUGUCUGGGAAACUGCCUGAUGGAGGGGGAUAACUACUGGAAACUGUAGCUAAUACCGCAUACCAUCGGAUGUGCCCAGAUGGGAUUAGCUAGUGGGUGGGGGAACGGCUCACCUAGGCGACGAUCCCUAGCUGGUACGAGAGGAUGACCAGGCACACUGGAACUGAGACACGGUCCAGACUCCUACGGGAGGCAGCAGUGGGGAAUAUUGCACAAUGGGCGCAAGCCUGAUGCAGCCAUGCCGCGUGUAUGAAGAAGGCCUUCGGGUUGUAAAGUACUUUCAGCUGGGAGGCGUUACCCGCAGAAGAAGCACCGGCUAACUCCGUGCCAGCAGCCGCGGUAAUUC